rnacentral:lncRNA from 10 species
AGAGCAUGGCUGCUGGGCAGCCAGGUCAACCGGACGGCAAGGCAGGGGUUGGCCGGGGAAGCACUGCGCCGCCCCUGCAUGCCCUGCAUCCUCGGGUCCUGGGAGGGCUGCUCAGUAACUGGAAGGAAAAUGAAACUGAAAAAGAGCAAGGGUCCCGUAGGAUUGAACACAGUUGGUGAAACUUGGGCCGUCUGCCUCAAGUCCCCGCUUGGCAAAACCACUCCCUCCUGGUGGACGCCCUCACCAUGAAGUUUCAGGCACUGUGACUGACUUCCUGCCGCAGAGGCUAAGAUUCGGCUCGUUCACUCCACAUGUGCACACAGCUCCUACCUGCAGAACACGCCCACCCUUAUGAAGGCCAUGAAAGCAGGUACACUCCACUGAGCUGGUGGUGGGGGGGGUCAAUUACAGUUCUCUCCUACACAACCUGUCGCCUUCCAGAGGACUAAUCAUUGCCUUUUUCCCCCCAGGCUACGUCCUGCGCUCUGUCACCCAGGCUGUGGUGGUCAGUGGUGCAAUCAUGGCUCACAGCAGCCUCAACCUCCCAGGCUCAAGCCAUCCUCCUGCCCCAGCCUCCCAAGUAGCUGGGAACAAG